UCCCUGGUAGUCUAGUGGUUAAGACUCCACUCUUCCACUGCAGGAGUCAAGGGUUCAAUCCCCGGUCAGGGAA
rnacentral:tRNA from 1 species